rnacentral:rRNA from 1 species
GAUGAACGCUGGCGGCGUGCCUAAUACAUGCAAGUCGAACGAACAGACGAGAAGCUUGCUUUUCGGUUGAUAGCGGCAGACGGGUGAGUAACGCGUGGAUAACGUCCCUAUAAUAGGGGUAUCAUUUGGGAAAUGGGGCGCUUAUACCGUAUAAGCUUUUGAUCCAUAGGGUUCAAAAGUGAAAUUCGGUCUUGUCGGCGGUUGGGGAUGGAUGCGCGCUUCAUCAGCUUGUUGGUGGGUUAGUGGCUUACCAAGGCUACGACGGGUAGCCGGCCUGAGAGGGUGACCGGCCACAUUGGGACUGAGAUACGGCCCAGACUCCUACGGGAGGCAGCAGUGGGGAAUAUUGCACAAUGGGCGGAAGCCUGAUGCAGCAACGCCGCGUGCGGGAUGACGGCCUUCGGGUUGUAAACCGCUUUCGCCUAUGACGAAGCGUGAGUGACGGUAAUGGGUAAAGAAGCAACGGCUAACUACGUG